CACGCUGUAAACGAUGAGUGCUAGAUAUCGGGAGAUUUUCUUUCGGUUUCGCAGCUAACGCAUUAAGCACUCCGCCUGGGGAGUACGAUCGCAAGAUUAAAACUCAAAGGAAUUGACGGGGGCUCGCACAAGUGGUGGAGCAUGCGGUUUAAUUCGAUGCUACGCGAAAAACCUUACCAACCCUUGACAUGGUGGUCGUAGGAUACAGAGAUGUAUUCGUCAGCUCGGCUGGACCACACACAGGUGU
rnacentral:rRNA from 1 species